rnacentral:rRNA from 1 species
CCAAGCCUACGACCAGUAGCUGGUUUGAGAGGAUGAUCAGCCACACUGUGACUGAGACACGGNCCAGACUCCUACGGGAGGCAGCAGUGGGGAAUCUUAGACAAUGGGGGCAACCCUGAUCUAGCCAUGCCGCGUGAGUGACGAAGGCCCUAGGGUCGUAAAGCUCUUUCACCAGGGAAGAUAAUGACGGUACCUGGAGAAGAAACCCCGGCUAACUCCGUGCCAGCAGCCGCGGUAAUACGGAGGGGGUUAGCGUUGUUCGGAAUUACUGGGCGUAAAGCGCGCGUAGGCGGACUGUUAAGUCAGGGGUGAAAUCCCGGGGCUCAACCCCGGAACUGCCCUUGAUACUGGCAGUCUCGAGUUCGAGAGAGGUGAGUGGAACUCCGAGUGUAGAGGUGAAAUUCGUAGAUAUUCGGAAGAACCCCAGUGGCGAAGGCGGCUCACUGGCUCGAUACUGACGCUGAGGUGCGAAAGUGUGGGGAGCAAACAGGAUUAGAUACCCUGGUAGUCCACACCGUAAACGAUGAAUGCCAGACGUCGGGCAGCAUUCUGUUCGGUGUCACACCUAACGGAUUAAGCAUUCCGCCUGGGGAGUACGUCCGCAAGGUUAAAACUCAAAGGAAUGGACGGGGGCCCGCACAAGCGGUGGAGCAUGUGGUUUAAUUCGAAGCAACGCGCAGAACCUUACCAACCCUUGACAUCCUCGUCGCGGUUACCGGAGACGGUUUCCUUCAGUUCGGCUGGACGAGUGACAGGUGCUGCAUGGCUGUCGUCAGCUCGUGUCGUGAGAUGUUCGGUUAAGUCCGGCAACGAGCGCAACCCACACCCUUAGUUGCCAGCAGUCCGGCUGGGCACUCUAGGGGAACUGCCCGUGAUAAGCGGGGGGAAGGUGUUGGGAUGACGUCAAGUCCUCAUGGCCAUUACGGGUUGGGCUACACACGUGCUACAAUGGCAGUGACAAUGGGGUAAUCCCAAAAAACUGUCUCAGUUCGGAUUGUCGUCUGCAACUCGACGGCAUGAAGUCGGAAUCGCUAGUAAUCGCGUAACAGCAUGACGCGGUGAUACGUUCCCGGGCAUUGUCACACCGCCCGUCACACCAUGGGAGUUGGGUUACCCGAAGACGGUGCGCCA